rnacentral:rRNA from 1 species
AUGACCCUUUUUCUACUAGUGGGUGAAGCUUCAUUGCAGCCGUCGACGGCGCUGCCGAUCCUACACUGCAGCGCCUAUCCCGCUGCAUCGCAUGUCAGGGCCGCCGGUGAAGCUCCAUUGCAGCACAGCCCGCUACAUCGCAGCUCCGGGCUCACCGGUGAAGCUCCAUUACAGCGCCGUGAAGCUUCAUUGCAGCUCCGCGCACUCACCGCAGCUCCAGGCAUCGACAGUGAAGCUUCAUUGCAGCCGCCGGUGAAGCUUCCUUGCAUCAUCGAGCUUUGGGCUUCCGCGCGAGUGCUGCGUCGCAGCACGUCGACGGUGCCCGACGGCGAGCCACAGACGAGCGCUCCACUUUAA